rnacentral:lncRNA from 1 species
UUACUGUUGAUUGUGACGAAAUGCCAGCUGAGGCACAUGCCUUGGGAGCUAAGUGGUUGCUGCCCUUGACCACUGUGAAGACUGGUGUGGGAAGGGUCGCUUUGGAUGCACUUGAGCAGGGGUCCCCAACCCCUGAGCCAUGGAGCCGCAAGGAGCCACACAGCAGGAGGUGGGACCAUCCAGUUGCAGGAAAACAAGCUUAACACGCCCACUAAUUCUACAUUAUGCUCCUACCUCCCGGCAGCCUCUCCAGGCCCAGAACUUUCUCCAGUCAGCCUCUACAGACCAAGCUCAUGACUCACAAUGGCCUAUUUAGGCCCAUACCCUACGUCACGGCAGCCUCCGCAGAUGAGGCUACUGCCUCACAACAGCCUCCACAGGCACAGCUCCAUCGUUACAAUGGCCUCUUUAGACCCAGCUCCUGCCUCCCAGCCUUCUCUCCAGGCCCUGAACUUUCUCAAGUCGACCUCACCAGGCCCAGCUCAUGCUUCUUUGCAGCCUCUCCAGGCCCAGCUCCUGCAUCUUGGUGGCCCCUCCAGGCCCAGCCUCUGCCUCCCGUCGGCCUCUGCAGUCCCAACGUCUGCCUCACAGCAGAUUCUUCACGCCCAGCAUCUACCUCACUGUGGACCCCCCAAGCCAAGCUCCCAACCUUUCAGCAGCUUCUACACACCCAGCUCCUGCCACCCAGUGGCCUCUUUAGGCCAAGCUCAUGCUUCACAAGGGCCUUUCCAGGCCCAACUUUUGUCUCAUGGCAACCUUCCCUGGCCAGAUUCCUGCCUGUCUCCCAGCAGCCUAGACAGGCCCAGGUCUUGCCUCACACUGGCCUCUCUACAUCCAGCUUAUGCCUCACGGUGGCCUCUCCAGGCCCAACUCCUGUCCCAGGACGUCAUCUCCGGGCCCAAAACUUACUCAAGUUAGACUCUCUAGUCCCAACUGCUGCCUCCUGGUGGCCUAUGAAGGCCCAAAAUCUCCUCAAGUUGACCUGUCCAGGCCCAGCUCCUGCCUCCUGUCAGCGUCUACAGGCCCAACCUCUGCCUCAUGGGGGCUUCUCCAGGCCCACCUCUUCCUCUUGGCUGGGUCUACAGGCACAACUGCUGCCUCACAACAGCCUUUUUUGGCCCAGUUCCUGUCCAGCUCAUGGCGGCCAAUGUAGGCCCAAAACUUCCUCAAGUCAAACUCUCCAGGCCCACCUUCUGCUUCCCGGUGGCAUCAACAGGCCCAGCUUUGACUUGAGAACAGCCUCUGCAGGCCCUGCUCUUGCCUCCCAGGGGCUUUUUCCAGGCCCAGCUCUUGCCUCAUGGCAGCUGCCCCAGGCCAAAUUUCUGCCUGCCUGCCAGCAGCCUCAACAGGCACAGCUCCUCCCUCACAGUGGCCCAUUUAGGCCCAACUCAUGACUGUGAGGCCAUUUCCAGGCCUAGUGCCUGCCUCGUGGCUGACUCUUGAAGCCCAAAACUUCCUCAAAUCAGGCUUUUGCCCAACUUCUGUCUACUGUCGGACUCUACAGGUCAGCCUCUGCCUCACAGUGGACCCUCCAGACCCAGAUGGUGUCUCACUGUGGCAUCCUCAGGCGAAGCUCCUGCCUUUCGGCAGCCUCUCCAGGCCCAGCUCCUCCUGCCUCCCAGUGGCCUCUUUCGGCCCAGCCCAGCUCAUGCCUCCCGGCGGCCUUCCCAAGCCCCGCUUUUGACUUUCGGUGGCCUCUGCAGGCCUCGACAAGGCCCAGCCUCCUGCCUCCCGAAGGCCUGCACAGGCCCAGCCUCUGCCUCACAGCGGACUCUCCACGCCCAGCUAGCUGUUGCUUCACUGCGGCCUCCCGAGUCCAAAGCUCCUGCCUCUCGGCCGCUUCGGCAGGCCCAGCUCCCGCCUGCCAGUGGCCUCUUCAGGCCCAUGGGGCUCAUUCCUGACAACGGCCUUUCCAGGCCCAGUUUUUCCCUUCCGGCGGCCUCUCCGGGCCCAGAACCUCCUCAAGUCGGCCUCUCCAGACCCACUUGCACCCUCCGGGCGUUCUCUCCGGGCCCAGCUCUUCUUCCUGGUUGGGUCUCCAGGCCCGAUUCCUGCCUCUCAACAACCUCUUUGGACUCAGUGCCUACCCAUCUCCUGGCGGCCUUGGUCGGCCCACAGCUUCCUCAAGCCAAGCUCCCCAGGCCCAGGUCAGGCCUCACGGUGGCCUCUCCAGGAUGAGCUCCUGCCCUCCGAUGGCAUCUCCAGGCCCCAAAUGGUCUCCGGUCGGUGGGCUCCUCCACGCCAAGGUUGGGCCUCCCGGCGACCGCCGCAGGCCCAAGUUGUCCUGAAGUCGGGCUCUCCCGGCCCUGCCUCCCAGCAAGUAAGCAAGCUCUUUUGGCUCAACUCCUGCCCAGCUCCCAACCGCCUUUGUAGGCCCCGAACUUUCUCCAGCCAAGCUCUGAGGGCCCACCUCCUGCCUCCUGGUGGCCUGUACAGUUCUAGCACUGGUUGGAGAACAGCCUCUGCAGGCCCCUCCCUUGCCUCCCAGGGGCCUCUCCAGGCCCAGCUCUUGCCCCCACGGCGGCCUCCCGGGGCCAAGUCCCUGCCUGCCUCCCAGCAGCCCGCGUGCGGCCCAGCUCCUCCCUCACGGUGGCCUGUUGAUGCCCAACUCAUGCCUCUGGCACCCUGCCCAGAGGCGUGAGCCCCUGCCUCACACUGGCUCCUCCCACGCUGAGAGAGGUCAGUGUGAGCCCUUGCCUCACACCGGCCCCUCCCACGCGGACAGAGGUCAGCGUGAGCCCCUUGUCUCACACCGGCCCCUCCCACGCUGAGAGAGGUCAGUGUGAGCCCUUGCCUCACACCGGCCCCUCCCACGCGGACAGAGGUCAGCGUGACCCCCUGCCUCAACAGGCCACCGUGAGGGAGGAACAGGAUCGCACUCGGGCUGCUGGGAGGUAGGCAGGGACUUGGGCCUGGGAGGUCGCGGUGGGGCGAGAGCUGGGCCUGGAGACUCCCCUGGGAGGCAACAGCGGGGUCUGCAGACGCCCUUCUCCAGCCGGAGCUGGGACUGUUCAGUCACUGGGAGAAGGGAUGUGGGUCUGAAGAGCUUGGUUGCAGAAACUUUGGGGUCUACAAACGCAGGCGGGAGCUGAGCCAAAAGAGCUUGUUUGCUGGGAGGUGGGAGAUGCAGCCAGGAGGAACAGCUGGGCAAUGCGGGAGGCAGAGGCCAGGCCUCCUUAAGUUGGCCUCUCAGACCCACUUGCAGCCUCCCGGCGCCCCCUCCGGGCCCAGCUCUUCCUCCCGGCUGCAUCUCCAGGCCGGACUCUGGCCCGACUCCAGGUCCCAACAACGUCUUUGGACUCAGCUCCUGCCCAGCUCCCAGCGGCCCUGGUAGGCCCACAACUUCCCUAAGCCAAGCUCCCCAGGCCCAGCUCAGGCCUCGCGGUGGCCUCUCCAGGCUCAGCUCCUGGCCCUCCGAUGACAUCUGCAGGCCCCAAAUGGCCUCCGGUCGGUGGGCUCCUCUAGGCCCAGCUUGGGCCUCCCGGCGGCCUCCGCAGGCCCAAAUCGUCCCGAAGUCAGUCUCUCCAGGCUUAGCUCCAGCCUCCCGGCGGCCUCUGCAGGCCCAAGUCGUCCUCAAGUCGGCCUGGAAGUGGGCCUGGAAGAGCAGCAAGUCGGCCUCCCUGGGCCCAGCUCCGUCCUCUCGACGGCCUCUCCAGGUGCAAAACUUCCUCGAGUCAGCCUCUCCAGGCCCAGCUCCUCCUGCCUCCCAGUGGCCUCUUUCGGCCCAGCCCAGCUCAUGGCUCUCGGCGGCCUUCCCAGGCCCCGCUUUUGACUUUUGGCAGCCUCUUCAGGCGCAGAACUUGAUCUCCAGUCGGCCUUUGCAGGCCCGGCCUCCUGCCUCUCGAAGGCCUGCACGGGCCCGGCCUCGGCCUCGGCCUCACAGCAGACUCUCCACGCCCAGCUAGCUCUCGCCUCACUGCGGCCUCCCCAGUCCAAAGCUCCUGCCUUUCGGCCACUUCGGCAGGUCCAGCUCCUGCCUGCCAGUGGCCUCUUUAGGCCCAGCUCAUUCCUCACGUCGGCCAUUCCAGGCCCCGUUUUUCCCUUCCGGCAGCCUCUUGGCCUCUAAUUUGUUUAUCUUUUGUGUAUAAAUCCCAAAAUAUUGAAUUUUGGAAUAUUUCCACCAUUAUGUAAAUAUUUUGAUAGGUAAUUUAUUUGGAGUGAGUUUCUGCGCCAAGCCCGAAUUUUUUAUUUUAUUUUCCUUAUUAUUUGGUGUUAAACAGGUUUAAUGACGGUCAUGGCAACUUUUUGGCACAAUGAAAAAUAUCGCCCACGA